rnacentral:rRNA from 1 species
AUUGAACGCUGGCGGCGUGCCUAACACAUGCAAGUCGAGCGGCAGCGCGGGGGCAACCCUGGCGGCGAGCGGCGGACGGGUGAGUAACGCUUGGGAAUCUGCCUGUUAGUGGGGGAUAAC